rnacentral:rRNA from 1 species
AGAGUUUGAUUCUGGCUCAGGACGAACGCUGGCGGCGUGCUUAACACAUGCAAGUCGAGCGGUAAGGCCUUUCGGGGUACACGAGCGGCGAACGGGUGAGUAACACGUGGGUGAUCUGCCCUGCACUCUGGGAUAAGCCUGGGAAACUGGGUCUAAUACCGGAUAUGACCGCAUGAUGCAUGUUGUGUGGUGGAAAGCUUUUGUGGUGCAGGAUGGGCCCGCGGCCUAUCAGCUUGUUGGUGGGGUAAUGGCCUACCAAGGCGACGACGGGUAGCCGACCUGAGAGGGUGACCGGCCACACUGGGACUGAGACACGGCCCAGACUCCUACGGGAGGCAGCAGUGGGGAAUAUUGCACAAUGGGCGGAAGCCUGAUGCAGCGACGCCGCGUGAGGGAUGAAGGCCUUCGGGUUGUAAACCUCUUUCAGCAGGGACGAAGCGUGAGUGACGGUACCUGCAGAAGAAGC